rnacentral:rRNA from 1 species
UACAGAGACUGCAAGCGUUAUUCGGAUUCACUGGGCGUAAAGGGUGCGCAGGCGGCCGGGUGUGUCAGAUGUGAAAUCCCGAGGCUCAACCUCGGAACUGCGUCUGAAACUACUCGGCUAGAGUACUGGAGAGGGUAACGGAAUUCACGGUGUAGCAGUGAAAUGCGUAGAUAUCGGGAGGAACACCUGUGGCGAAAGCGGCUCACUGGACCACAACUGACGCUGAUGCGCGAAAGCUAGGGGAGCAAACAGG